UGGGGAAUAUUGCGCAAUGGGGGAAACCCUGACGCAGCAACGCCGCGUGAGUGAUGAAGGUUUUCGGAUCGUAAAACUCUGUCAUUAGGGACGAUAAUGACGGUACCUAAUGAGGAAGCCACGGCUAACUACGUGCCAGCAGCCGCGGUAAUACGUAGGUGGCAAGCGUUGUCCGGAUUUACUGGGCGUAAAGAGUAUGUAGGUGGGCAUUUAAGUCAGAUGUGAAAUUCCCGGGCUUAACCUGGGAGCUGCAUUUGAUACUGGGUGUCUAGAGUGCAGGAGAGGAAAGUGGAAUUCCUAGUGUAGCGGUGAAAUGCGCAGAUAUCAGGAGGAACACCGAUGGCGAAGGCAGGUCUCUGGGCAGUAACUGACGCUGAGGAGCGAAAGCAUGGGGAGCGAACAGGAUUAGAUACCCUGGUA
rnacentral:rRNA from 1 species